UUUAUUCAUCUCCAAACCCACACUUCGUGAAUGAGAGUAGCAUCGCCACCACCAUUCACAAUUCAAAUCGGGUUUGCCACCAGCUCCCCAAUCGAGAGCCCACUCGGUAAACCGCCAGCACUCAUGGAGUGUUUGACCCUUCUAGGCGAAUACUGUCGCACUAUCCUUAGCAAUGGCCCCCGCAGCGUGGGCUUGGCAUGAGCGCAAUCUCACCGCCCAAAGCAGUCAAGUCUUGAUCAUUACAGUGAUUUGGAUGGUCACCUGAAGGUUGUUGGUGAUUCUGGGUUUUGCGUCAUUACAUUUAUUUAAAGGCAUUUCUUUUCAAGUUUCUAACUUGCUUUGAUUUUUGUUGAGUAUUUUCGACUUGUGAACUGGGAUAUGAAAGCCAACAACUCGUUGAUUGGAGCAGACAAACAGCUUAAACUGCUUAUUUUGAUUUAGCUCGUAUAUUUGGGAGCCCAGAUAGAAAGCUCACUCCCCAGUCUUUUCUAGAUGGUAUAGAGCGCCUGAGCUUUGUUUGGUGCCAAGCAGAAUGCCCCAGGAGUAGAUGUUUGGACAAGUCAAUGGUAUUUCAGAUCUAGGAUUUAGUAGCAGCAAGUCAAUGUCGUUUUCGAGGAAAGGCCAUUUGGGCAUUCAUGUGGUAAAUUUCCUCUGUGGGGUUUCAGGUCUGAAGGAGGUGCUGCGGCUGGCAGAACAUUUCGAAAAAUAUAAUUGGGGACGAAAAGAUUGGACCGCGUGCUGUCCUCCUCGACAUUUAACAAGGAAGAUGAUAACAAUCUAAACCUUGUGAAAUUAGAUGUGGUAACUGGAGAGAAGAUGAGAAUCUGCUGUGUACAUCUAGCCACUGUUUCUGAUCUAGUCAAAGUUACUUUUGAGAUCAAGAAGAAAGUCAUAAUUGAGAGCAGAAUGGAUUACAACAAGCAUUCCAAGUAGAAACUAAGAUAAAAAUAUUUGGCAUCUCUUUUCCAUUGUUGUGAGGAUUCUUUAAUUGUGAUUUGGAAGUUGUUCAGUUAUACCUGGAUCAUACCUAUUUCUGAAGUUGAUAGUUUCUCUUUAUAAAAGUCAUUUUGAUUUGA